GACAGGGUCUUGCUACGUUGCUUUGGGCAUUGCUAAAUUGCUGAGACUGGCCUUGAACUUGUGAGCCUCCUGCCUCAGACUCCCAAAUUGUUGGGAUUACAGUUCUAGGGAUUGAACCCAGGGCCUUGCACAGGCUAGGCAAGUGCUCUUCUACUGAAUCCCGUCUCCAGCCCUAAAGUUGACUUCUUCGACAUACAGUUUGUGAAUUUUAACACAUCUUCCCUCAUGUAAUCUCCAUAGAAUAUGAACAGUUUCACCACCUCAAGAAUUUCCCUCAUUUUACUUCUUUGUGGCCACUCUCCUCCCGAUCCCUAAGCCCUGGAAAGCACCAAUUGGUUAUGUAUCAUACAGAAUGACAAUAUAUAACUUUUGGAAACUUGCUUCUUUUGUUCAGCAGAUGCCUUUGAGAUUCAUCCAAGUGGUUGCAGGUGUGAACACUCCAUUGAUUUAUAGCACUGAGUAGGAUCGCAUUUCACAGAUGUCCCAUGGGUUAAUAUCAAGGAAUUGCCAAGACACAUGGUAAGUAUACAUUUAACUACGUAAGGCUGCUUCACUGUUUUCCAGAGUGGCAAUAUCAUCUGAUAUUCCCACCUGCAAUGUCUGGGAGUUCCAGUUGCUUCACAUCACUUGUCAGCAUUUUGCUUUGUUUUAUUGUAAUUUUAGCCUUUUUGAUAGGCGUGUGGUACUAUAUUUCCGUAAUGCCUAAUGUACAUGGACACAAUACCCAUUUUGUUCUUUUCAAAAUUGUUUUGGCUCUUCUAGUUCUUUUGCCUUUUCACAUACAUCUUAAAAUAACCAAAAAACUUGUGAUUUUUUUACCGACAGUGUAUUGUAUCCAAACAUACAUUAACUGGGAGAUAAAUCACAUCUUAACAAUAUUAAAUCUUCUGUCCAGGAACAUGGUAUGCUUUCUCAUUUAUUAAGUUCUUCUUUUAUUUCUUUGAUCAACAUUUUGUAGUUUUCAGCA